UCUCCGUUGGUGAACCAGCGGAGGGAUCAUUACAGAGUUGCAAAACUCCCUAAACACUUGUGAACCACCUCGUUGCUUCGGGGGCGACCCUGCCGUUCGCGGCGUGGGGCCCCCGGAGCCCAUCAAACCCUGCGUAACUAAGUCGUCGGAGUUUAAACAAAUUAAACAAAACUUUCAACAACGGAUCUCUUGGUUCGGGCAUCGAUGAAGAACGCAGC
rnacentral:misc_RNA from 1 species